rnacentral:rRNA from 1 species
CAAUAGCGUAUAUUAAAGUUGUUGCAGUUAAAAAGCUCGUAGUUGGAUCUCGGGUUUAGGCGUGCGGUUCGCCUCGCGGCGAUCACUGCUCGACCUGACCUAGCCGCCGAUCCUCCCUUGGUGCUCUUGACUGAGUGUCUCGGGGCGUCGGAACGUUUACUUUGAAAAAAUUAGAGUGCUCAAAGCAGGCCAUUCGCCUGAAUACUGUUGCAUGGAAUAAUGGAAGAGGACCUCGGUUCUAUUGCGUUGGUUUUCGGAACUUGAGGUAAUGAUUAAGAGGGACGGACGGGGGCAUCCGUAUUACGGCGUUAGAGGUGAAAUUCUUGGAUCGCCGUAAGACGAACUACUGCGAAAGCAUUUGCCAAGAAUGUUUUCAUUAAUCAAGAACGAAAGUCAGAGGUUCGAAGACGAUCAGAUACCGUCGUAGUUCUGACCAUAAACACUGCCGACUAGCGAUCCGACGGCGUUGCAUUACUGACUCGCCGGGCAGCUUCCGGGAAACCAAAGUAAGGUUCCGGGGGAAGUAUGGUUGCAAAGCUGAAACUUAAAGGAAUUGACGGAAGG